rnacentral:rRNA from 1 species
UACGUAGGGUGCGAGCGUUAAUCGGAAUUACUGGGCGUAAAGCGUGCGCAGGCGGUCUGUUAAGACCGAUGUGAAAUCCCCGGGCUUAACCUGGGAACUGCAUUGGUGACUGGCAGGCUUUGAGUGUGGCAGAGGGAGGUAGAAUUCCACGUGUAGCAGUGAAAUGCGUAGAGAUGUGGAGGAAUACCGAUGGCGAAGGGCAGCCUCCUGGGCCAACACUGACGCUCAUGCACGAAAGCGUGGGGAGCAAACAGG